rnacentral:rRNA from 1 species
UACAGAGGGUGCAAGCGUUAAUCGGAAUUACUGGGCGUAAAGCGUGCGUAGACGGUUACAUAAGUCGGGUGUGAAAGCCCCGGGCUCAACCUGGGAAUUGCAUUCGAGACUGCGUAGCUAGGGUGCGGAAGAGGGAAGCGGAAUUUCCGGUGUAGCGGUGAAAUGCGUAGAUAUCGGGAAGGAACACCAGUGGCGAAAGCGGCUUCCUGGUCCAGCACCGACGUCAGGCACGAAAGCGUGGGGAGCAAACGGG